rnacentral:rRNA from 1 species
CCUACGGGAGGCAGCAGUGAGGAAUAUUGGUCAAUGGGCGAGAGCCUGAACCAGCCAUGCCGCGUGCAGGAAGACGGUCCUAUGGAUUGUAAACUGCUUUUAUACAGGAAGAAACACUCCCUCGUGAGGGAACUUGACGGUACUGUAGGAAUAAGGAUCGGCUAACUCCGUGCCAGCAGCCGCGGUAAU